rnacentral:rRNA from 1 species
UACGGGGGGAGCAAGCGUUGUUCGGAUUUACUGGGCGUAAAGAGCGCGCAGGCGGUCGUUCAAGUCGAGUGUGAAAGCCCCCCGGCUCAACUGGGGAGGGUCAUUCGAUACUGAUCGACUCGAAGGCAGGAGAGGGUAGUGGAAUUCCCGGUGUAGUGGUGAAAUGCGUAGAUAUCGGGAGGAACACCAGUGGCGAAGGCGGUUCUCUGGGCCUGUACUGACGCUGAGGAGCGAAAGCGUGGGGAGCGAACAGG